GAUGAACGCUAGCGGCAGGCUUAAUACAUGCAAGUCAAGGGGGUAGCAAUACUACCGGCGCACGGGUGAGUAACACGUACAUAACAUACCAUAUACUGGGGUAUAGCUUUGGGAAACUGAAGGUAAUCCCCCAUAACAUUGCGAGAGGGCAUCUGAUUGCAAUUAAAGUUUCGACGGUAUAUGAUUGAUGUGCGUUUGAUUAGCUUGUUGGUAGGGUAACGGCCUACCAAGGCGACGAUCAAUAGCUGGCGUGAGAGCGCGACCAGCCACACUGGAACUGAGACACGGUCCAGACUCCUACGGGAGGCAGCAGUAGGGAAUAUUGGACAAUGGGCGAAAGCCUGAUCCAGCCAUGCCGCGUGAUAGAUGAAGGCCCUCUGGGUUGUAAAUAUCUUUUAUCUGGGAAGAAACAAUCUUAUUCUUAAGAUCUUGACGGUACCAGAGGAAUAAGCACCGGCUAACUCUGUGCCAGCAGCCGCGGUAAAG
rnacentral:rRNA from 1 species